AUAUCAAUAAGCGGAGGAAAAGAAACCAACAGGGAUUGCCUUAGUAACGGCGAGUGAAGCGGCAACAGCUCAAAUUUGAAAUCUGGCCCUAGGCCCGAGUUGUAAUUUGCAGAGGAUGCUUCUGGCGACGUGCCUUCCAAGUUCCCUGGAACGGGACGCCAUUGAGGGUGAGAGCCCCGUCUGGUCGUGCACCUAGCCUCUGUGAAGCUCCUUCGACGAGUCGAGUAGUUUGGGAAUGCUGCUCUAAAUGGGAGGUAUACGUCUUCUAAAGCUAAAUAUAGGCCAGAGACCGAUAGCGCACAAGUA
rnacentral:rRNA from 1 species